GGCCGUGUGGCUCAAUGGCAGAGCGUCUGGCUACGAUUAGUUAACCAGAAGGUUGCAGGUUCGACCCCUGUCUCGGUCA
rnacentral:tRNA from 1 species